AUUGAACGCUGGCGGCAGGCCUAACACAUGCAAGUCGAACGAGUGGCGGACGGGUGAGUAAUGUCUGGGAAACUGCCUGAUGGAGGGGGAUAACUACUGGAAACGGUAGCUAAUACCGCAUACCAUCAGAUGUGCCCAGAUGGGAUUAGCUAGUUGGUGGGGUAACGGCUCACCAAGGCGACGAUCCCUAGCUGGUCUGAGAGGAUGACCCGCCACCCUGGAACUGAGAAACGGUCCAGAAUCCCACGGGAGGCAGGAGGUGGGAAUAAUGCCAUAAGGGGGGAAACCAGAUGCCACCAAGGCGCGGGUAUGAAGAAGGCCUUCGGGUUGUAAAAUAAUUUCCACGGGGCAGAGUUACCUGUCGAAGAAGCACCGGCCAACUCCGUGCCAGCCGCCGCGGUAAUUC
rnacentral:rRNA from 1 species